AGCAGCCGCGGUAAUUCCAGCUCCAAUAGCGUAUAUUAAAGUUGUUGCAGUUAAAAAGCUCGUAGUUGAAUUUCGGGAUCAUCAUGUUGGUCGUGCCUCUGGUAUGUACUGAUUUCGAUGGUUCCUCCUUCUUGUAGAACCGUAAUGCCAUUAAUUUGGUGUUGCGGGAAAACAGGACUGUUACUUUGAAAAAAUUAGAGUGUUUAAAGCAGGCAAUCGCUUGAAUACAUUAGCAUGGAAUAAUGAAAUAGGACGUUUGAUCCUAUUUUGUUGGUUUCUAGGAUUGACGUAAUGAUUAAUAGGGAUAGUUGGG
rnacentral:rRNA from 1 species